GACGAACGCUGGCGGCGUGCUUAACACAUGCAAGUCGAACGAGGUCCACCGCGUAGCAAUACAAGGGAAGACCUAGUGGCGAACGGGUGCGUAACACGUGAGGAACUUGUCCCGGUCUCUGGGAUAACAGUUGGAAACGACUGCUAAUACCGGAUGACGUCGGAAUCUCGCAUGGGAUACUGACGAAAGGGUUACUGGAUCGGGAGAGCCUCGCGGCCUAUCAGCUUGUUGGUGAGGUAACGGCUCACCAAGGCAUCGACGGGUAGCUGGUCUGAGAGGAUGAUCAGCCACACUGGGACUGAGACACGGCCCAGACUCCUACGGGAGGCAGCAGUGGGGAAUCUUGCGCAAUGGGCGAAAGCCUGACGCAGCAACGCCGCGUGCGGGAAGAAGGCCCUCGGGUUGUAAACCGCUUUCAGCAGGAACGAAAAUGACGGUACUUGCAGAAGAAGGUGCGGCCAACUACGUG
rnacentral:rRNA from 2 species